rnacentral:rRNA from 1 species
UACGUAGGGGGCAAGCGUUGUCCGGAAUCAUUGGGCGUAAAGAGCGCGCAGGCGGUCGUUCAAGUCGAGUGUGAAAGCCCCCGGCUCAACUGGGGAGGGUCACUCGAUACUGAUCGACUUGAAGGCGGGAGAGGGAAGCGGAAUUCCCGGUGUAGUGGUGAAAUGCGUAGAUAUCGGGAGGAACGCCAGUGGCGAAGGCGGCUUUCUGGCCCGUUCUUGACGCUGAGGCGCGAAAGCUAGGGUAGCAAACGGG